AUGAAUGAAUGAAUGAAUGAAUGAAUGAAUGAAUGAAUGAAUGAAUGAAUGAAUGAAUGAAUGAAUGAAUGAAUGAAUGAAUGAAUGAAUGAAUGAAUGAAUGAAUGAAUGAAUGAAUGAAUAUAUGAAUGAAUCCCAAGCAGGCUCCAUGCUGUUAGCACAAAGCCCAACAUGGGGCUCCGUCCCAAGAACCAUGAGAUUAUGACCUGAGCUAAAACCAAGAGUCAGCCGCUUAACUGGUUCAGUCACCCAGGCUCCCCUGAAGUACAAUUCUUAAAGGGAUGGCAGUAUUGCUCUGCCUGAUUGUCCCAUGCCCCUGUGACCACAGAGGGCUUGCCAACACAGGGUCAUUAAACCUUCAAAUUCCACUUUGGACACCAGACAGUGUGAAGGAGCCCAGGAAGUCUGGCUCCCUACAGGUGUCACAGAGACCAUUAGUGUGGAUUACUGCAUGGACUGUAAAGUGACCACCUGACCACACAGGUCUGCUAACCCAACAUGGUUUAUCCACCUACUCUCACCUCUCUGGCCUUAAUGUUUAUUUUCGAGAGAGAGAGAGAGAGAGCAAGCAAGCAAGGGAGGGGCAGAGAGAGAGGGAGACACAGAAUCCGAAGCAGGGUCCAGGUUCUCAGCUGUGGGCACAGAGCUGGAUGUGUGGCUCAAAACCACGAACCGUGAGACCAUGACCUGAGCCAAAGUUGGACGCUUAACAGACUGAGCCCCUGAGGUGCUCCUCUCUGGCCUUAAUGUUUAUUUUCGAGAGAGAGAGAGGAGAGAGAGAGAGAGAGAUACCUGCUUGCUACUCAAAUGAACACAGGGGUAACAGUUGAGCUUGGCUAAGGCAAAGAGGGCUUCCUGGCUCUCUACAGUAAAUCACAACUUGGAAAGGCAGACAUCUUGACAGUGAGGUUUCUGUAACUGUUUGGUUGAAUGGCAUUGUGGAGCAAGAAAAGUUUGUUGGAUUUGUACGAGCACAUAUUCAAAUCAGCUCUAAACACAACCCUGACACUAUUAUUGUCAGGACACUCCUAUGAAGUAGGACACCAUACUUUAAAAGAUGGUGGCAGGAAGCAGAGAGAGGGUGAGUCCCCAGGCAGAGGGGAGCAGAGAGGAAACCAGGCUGAGGCCUGUCUGGUUCCUGGGUGUACCUCUGGCUGCUUCCUCUGCGUGGCACUCUGUCUCUCCCCAAGGUUCAGCAGGCUGCGGUCUCAGCCAGUGGCCCAGGCCCCCGGCCAUCGCGUGAGAUCCAGGCCAGGGGCACCUGGGGAAGCACGCCUAAGCAUGUGGUCUACAGAAAGGGAGAGACGUGCAGCUACGCACUCAGGGCGCACCCUGUGCCGGGCGCUGCGCUGUGCGCCAGUUGACAGGCACGCAAUGACUUAAUCUUGGCAAAAAUCCAAAGAUGGGGGAACCCUUAUUAUCCCCAUUUCACACAGGAAAGUGCUUUCCAGAGGCAACAGAGGAGUGUCCCACAUCACACGGCCACAAAGUGGUGAACUGGGAUGGCCAACCCAGCUCCUCUGAUCCCUUUGUCGACGCUGCCUAGGCAACCUCUGACCAGCCCUCUGUGACAGUCCAGGGGGCUGCAGGGGGGGGUGGGGUCUUGAGGACAUGAUGAACCGGAGAAAAUAUUAAAUGUUGACAGUCACAGGAAGGGGAAAGACUGCCAGAACACUUGACGUGACAACUCUUUUUAACCCAAAACACCACAAGAGUCUUUGUAAGAACUGUAUGUCCUCCCGAGUCCAGCACUCGGGACAGAACUUACACGGAACACACUGGUACCUCUCCAAACACGUAUUCAGCCCCUGAUAACUCUAUGUUGCUCCAUCAAGUAUCUGAUCGUAGACGGGUUAGGUGUUUCAUGGAGAAUGAGAUUACUACAGGAGUUUGUAAUGGAGUAUAUUUCUAAAUAAAUCUAUUAACAGUAACCA
rnacentral:lncRNA from 1 species